CCUGUAGCUCAGUUGGUAAAGAAUCUGCCUGCAAUGCAGGAGACCCAGAUUCAAUUCCUGGGUCAGGA
rnacentral:tRNA from 1 species